UCGCCUGUUUAUCAAAAACAUAGCUAGCGGGAAUCUUCGCUAGUGCUCCCUGCUCAAUGAAAUUUUAAAUAGCCGCAGUACUUUGACUGUGCUAAGGUAGCAUAAUCAUUUGGCUUUUAAUUAGAGUCUAGUAUGAAGGGGAAAUACGUGGAAAAACUGUCUCUGAGGCAAUAGUAAAAACUUGAUUAGGAGGCGAAAAUUCCUCCAUUUUUAAGAAAGACGAGAAGACCCUGGGAGCUUAUAGAAAAUUUUAGUUGGGGCAACUCCUAGACAACAAACUCUAGCAACACAAAAAAUAAACACACCGGACUACAAAAAAGCCAACAGCUACCCCAGGGAUAACAGCACAAUGGCAUCAUCGCUUGUGACCUCGAUGUUGGACUAAGGAGGGCACUCCCUAGAAAGUAGUGUCCAUUGCUCUGUUCGAGCAUCCUACCUUACGUGAUCUGAGUUCAGACCGG
rnacentral:rRNA from 1 species